CACUGGGCUUCAGAAUGGCAUAGAGGGGCUGCGGGAAGCCCGCACUUUCCACCCCUCCUAUGCGCUGCUACUCGUCGGCGUCGGCGACGAGGUCACAGUCACACAAGGAAGAGGAAACAAGGCGGCCGACCAUGACUUCGCCGAAGUCCUUCGCCGGCGAAUCCAUCCACCUCCGCUCUCUCUCCGCCGCGGACGGCGACGCCCGGCAUCCAACCCCAAUCCGGUGCAGCGUUCCAUGUCACCGUUCUAGUGCCAUGAUCGUGAACCACUACCAUCCACCCGUAAACUAAGCCAGGCGGCAGAGGACAGCUAUGGUGGCAUAUUCUCCCUCCAAUCUCUGAUUCCCGUGGUGGCAUCUUCGAUAGCAAAGUCAUUUUUUGUUCUAUUCCUUGACCUGGAUGGGGGUGUUCCUGGUGACGAGCGAGUCGCUCCCUGCCUAUCCCAUAAACGGUAUUGGAUAAUAAUUCCAUGGUUUGAGCUUCCUGU